GCUUCUUCAUUCAACUAUGAAAACCGUGAGUUCAAUCCUAUUCUCCGAGAAAGUAACAGCAAAACCCAAAAAAAAAUGUGCAGAGAAUGUUUCACCCCAAAACAUGAAAAAUCCCGAGAGAGAAAGAGACCCUGCAAAAGUGACGGCUCCCCCUCUCAUGGUCCGAGAAUGUGGUGUCAAAAAACUAGGGUGGGGUCCACCCAAACCCUAAAGCCAUGUCACAAACUCUACCAUUGGGCUUUUGUGCAUUCUACCAAAUUAAUUGGCCCAAAGUUACAAAAAUUCAUUAACAAAAUCUAAAUUACUAAGCUAAGCUAGAUUAAUUCUAAUUUGCCUUGUGGAAAUUCUACAAUUGCUUGGUGC
rnacentral:lncRNA from 1 species